rnacentral:rRNA from 1 species
AUGUGCUCAAGCUUCGUGUCCGGCUCGUCAGCCAGAGCCUCCGGUGCGUGCAGAUCGUCGGGUCCUUCAUCGAAGAGAUCUUCGUGUUGGACGCCCCACGCCUUAGAGCGGUUCAUCCAUUCGGAGGCCUGGAAUCCUGCUGGCAACUGCACCACCACGGUGAAGAUCGGCCAUGCCCCCAAGCUGCACUUGUUGGGAUACUUGGCGUUGGACCCACGAAAGCAUGUCUUAGACGUCGGCAACACCAUCAUCAAGGCUGGGACAGGGAUGAGCCCAAGCACCAUGCUACCAGUUGUGAAAAUCCUGGCUUUGAAGGUGCGUUUCGCAGUCCGCAAUGAUGUCAAGAUGAUCCCCAAUGUCCUCAGAUGCUUUCCAAAUGUUGAGACGCUCCACAUCAUGUCUGGAAAAACUGAUCAAUCCACUGGCAAGGCCAACCUGAAGUUCUCGCUCGAGUCUGGUACCAUAGAAUGCAUAGAGUCGCGCAUCAAGCUGCUGGUUUUCCAUGGUUUCCAAGGGGAUCGAAGCGAGCUCGGCUUCCUCAAGUUCUUCUUCGAGAGCGCCUUGGUGCUGGAGGAGGUGGUGGUUGGUUCUGUUGGCCGCUGA